rnacentral:misc_RNA from 1 species
GAUGAAGAACGUAGUGAAAUGCGAUACGUAAUGUGAAUUGCAGAAUUCAGUGAAUCAUCGAGUCUUUGAACGCACAUUGCGCCCCCUGGUAUUCCGGGGGGCAUGCCUGUCCGAGCGUCAUUGCUACCCUCAAGCACGGCUUGUGUGUUGGGCCUCCGUCCUCCUCCCGGGGGACGGGCCCGAAAGGCAGCGGCGGCACCGCGUCCGGUCCUCGAGCGUAUGGGGCUUCGUCACCCGCUCUUGUAGGCCCGGCCGGCGCUUGCCGACACAUCAAUCUUUUUUCCAGGUUGACCUCGGAUCAGGUAGGGAUACCCGCUGAACUUAAGCAUAUCAUAAGCGGAGGA